GAAAGAGUGAGGAACGUCCGAGCACCACAGGGCAGAGCGCCGGGUAACACCCGGUGGAGGCGACUUCAAGGAAAGUGCAACAGAAAUAGACCGCAGCUUAGGCUGUAAGGAUGGAAAGGCGAGGUAAGAGCUCACCGGAUCGGUUGGUAACUUCCGAUCCCUGUAAACCCCGCUCGGUGCAAGAUUGAUAUAGGAGCAUUCAAUAGCGGCCCGCUAAGCUCCGUGUAAUCGCUUGAGCCUGCCGGUAACGUCAGGCCUAGAUAGAUGGUCAUCUAAACAGAACUCGGCGUAUGGAUUGUCUCGA
rnacentral:RNase_P_RNA from 1 species